GUGUCAGCAGCCGCGGUAAUACGUAGGGUCCGAGCGUUGUCCGGAUUUAUUGGGCGUAAAGAGCUCGUAGGCGGUUCCGUAAGUCAGAUGUGAAAACUCAGGGCUCAACCCGGAGACGCCAUCUGAUACUGCGGUGACUGGAGUCUGGUAGGGGAACACGGAAUUCCUGGUGUAGCGGUGAAAUGCGCAGAUAUCAGGAGGAACACCGAUGGCGAAGGCAGUGUUCUGGGCCAGUACUGACGCUGAGGAGCGAAAGCGUGGGGAGCAAACAGGAUUAGAAACCCUCGUAGUCC
rnacentral:rRNA from 1 species